AAUUUUCAACACGGGGCUGGAUUUUGGAGUGCACCUUCUAGUCAAGGAAUGUGCUAAGCAAGAAAUUUAUGGUAUAUCCUUACAUGCCUUCUAUUUUUGAGAUGAAACCAAAUUAGUGCAGCAAGAAUCAAACCAAAGGUAUUGUAUUCAUAUCACCUUUGUGGUCAUAGAGGAUUCUAUCCGCAAUCUCUUUCUCCAACUGUAUAUUUCGAUAAACCUAAGAACAUGCUUUUGAAACAUUUAGACAUUUUUGGCCAACUGAAGUUUGAGAUGAGCAACUCAAGCUCAUUAGAAAUACUUACAACAGUUUAGAUAAGAUAUCUGCUUAUUAGUUAUAUUUUAGAUGGGAGUUCAUAUUGGCCAAAUAAAAAAGAACUAUAGAAUUAUAGGAUCUUGACAACAAUUUAAUUCUUCCCCAGUAAAUGUACCUGUGAACAUAUGGCAUUUUAGCAAAGAAGAAUAAUUGUUUUAUUAUCCAAAUGAGGAGAUGAACUAUCUCUGCUUAUUGUCUACAUUCCACAUGGGAGUUCAUAUUGCCUAAAGAAAUGAUAUCUCUCAUGAAGUACAAGAGCAAGAAUGUUGUUCAUGUGAAAUUUGUUUUCAGUUUUCAUUCACCUUUUGCUCGUCUAACUCAACUAAAUCAGUUCCAAAAUCUAGAAAAAAUGCAAAUGUUGUAGAAGCUACUAUAGUAUUGCAUCUACAGGAAGGUUGGUAGGCAGACCAAGAUGUGGAGGACAGUAGCCCAGUUUGCUGCCAGAUCGAGCACCGCGAGGCAAAGUUUGGCAUAAUUAGCCACAAUGGGAACUGCUGAUACCUUGAUUGAGACAUUUUGACGCCAGAGCUGAGGAAGCAUUGUACAUUUGUCAUAUAAUACCUCCAGUGUAGCGAGUCAGAUAUUUUGCCUUCUGGUCAAACUGCUCGUGUGUGUGUGUUUUGGUAGGGAAUGUAUAGGUUCAAACCUUGAUGUUAUGUUGUAUUUUUUGGUAGAUGACCCAUGGUAGAAAUAGCGCUGUUAUGGUUAUGGCACUCUCAUGUUGAUGUUCAUGCACAAAUAUGGAAGCCACAUUUUGUGUUCA